CCAUGUGCUUCCCCCUGAAUUAGUUGCAAUACCAACAGACUUCCCCUCCACCUCAAAAGUCUUCUUUGUGAGCAUGGAUUUUCAAAGAUUGGCCAAAGAGUAUGGAGGCAGUGCUUUUGCUGUAUUGGACGAUACAAUUAUUUUCUCAAACUACAAGGAUCAACAGUUAUACAAAUUAACUAUUAGAAUUUAUAGGAAUAAUCAAGAAUGAAUAAAUAUUACAACCAAUCUCAAUUUGAUGAAGUAAGAAGUUAAAAGUUGAAGCAAAUUUGUAUACUCGUAUGUAUAAGGUGCCUAAGUUGUGUAUAUUAGGAUAAAUAUUUGGGAUCAUUAUGGAUUUUAGUGCUGCUCUUGUGGAUAUACUUUUGGUUUUGUGUGAUGUAAUUUUUGGUAAAUAGUGAAUAUACUUUUGGAUAUAGUUUUGUGGAUAUACUUUUGGAUAUAAUUAUGGAUAAAAACUUGUUGGUUA